UACGUAGGGGGCAAGCGUUGUCCGGAAUCAUUGGGCGUAAAGCGCGUGUAGGCGGCUCGAUAAGUCUGCUGUGAAAGUCCAGGGCUCAACCCUGGGAUGCCGGUGGAUACUGUCGAGCUCGAGUCCGGAAGAGGCGAGUGGAAUUCCUGGUGUAGCGGUGAAAUGCGCAGAUAUCAGGAGGAACACCAGUGGCGAAGGCGGCCACCUGGACGGUUACUGACGCUGAGACGCGAAAGCGUGGGGAGCAAACAGG
rnacentral:rRNA from 1 species